rnacentral:rRNA from 1 species
GCAUAUCAAAAAGCGGAGGAAAAGAAAAUAACCAUGAUUCCCCCAGUAACGGCGAGUGAAGCGGGAAAAGCUCAAAUUUGAAAUCUGGCAACAUUUCUUUUGUUGUCCGAGUUGUAAUUUCAAGAAGCUGCUUUGAGUGUACACGGUUUACCUAAGUUCCUUGGAACAGGACGUCAUAGAGGGUGAGAACCCCGUCUUUGGUAAGCUGGGCGUAUGCCGGAUAAAGCGCUUUCGAAGAGUCGAGUUGUUUGGGAAUGCAGCUCUAAAUGGGUGGUAAAUUUCAUCUAAAGCUAAAUAUUGGCGAGAGACCGAUAGCGAACAAGUAGAGUGAUCGAAAGAUGAAAAGAACUUUGAAAAGAGAGUUAAAUAGUACGUGAAAUUGCUGAAAGGACGAAGCAUUGGAAACCAGUCUUACCCGGGUGAGAUCAGUUGCCUUUUCGCAAGGCGAUGCACUCUGAACCUGUUGGUAGGUCAGCAUCAGUUUCUGGGGGUGGAAAAAGGAUCUAGGAAGGUACCUUUUCGGGUUCUGCCUGAAGAGGGUUUAUAGCCUAGGUUGUAAUACAUCCACUGGGGACUGAGGACUGCGAUCUUUAUGGUCAAGGAUGUUGACAUAAUGGUUUUCAAUGACCCGUCUUGAAACAACGGACC